rnacentral:rRNA from 1 species
AGUGAACGCUGGCGGUAGGCCUAACACAUGCAAGUCGAGCGGCCGCACAGUAAGAGCUUGCCCUUACUGUUGGCGAGUGGCGGACGGGUGAGGAAUACAUCGGAAUCUACUUUUUCUGGGGGGAUAACGUAGGGAAACUGACGCUAAUACCGCAUACUAUCUACGGCAUAAAUCAAAGGAUCUUGGGACCUUUCCCGACUGAAUGAGCCGGUGUCGGAUUAGCUAGUUGGCUAGGUAAAGGCCCACCAAGGCAACGAUACGUAGCAGACCUGAGAGGAUGAUCAGCCACACUGGAACUGAGACACGGUCCAGACUCCUACGGGAGGCAGCAGUGGGGAAUAUUGGACAAUGGGCGCAAGCCUGAUCCAGCCACACCGCGUGGGUGAAGAAGGCCUUCGGGUUGUAAAGCCCUUUUGUUGGGAAAGAAAAGAAGCAGGUUAAUACCCCGCUGUUCUGACGGUACCCAAAGAAUAAGCACCGGCUAACUUCGUG